ensembl:lncRNA
AACUAAUUAUUCUUUCAUAUUCUUGUUUUAACAAAUAAAUAUAUUGUUGUCCUCUAUCUGUCUAUCUGUCUAUCUAUCUAUUUAUAUAUCCGGUUAAUACGUUGUACGUUUGCCAGACGCUCACACUAUCUGGAGGCAACCCUUAAUUGAGUGUCUUGAAGUUGUUCCAUUGAUUAUGUUGUCCGGUGCGCAUGAAGUUGUUUCCAUGACACGCGCGGACAACAGGACUGGGAUAUAUCCACCCCUCUCUCGGCCAUUCCUCGAAACUGGGGUUGGUCUAAAAUUCCAUUGAUAUGGUGAGAGUGAGUGUCUACACGGCGGGUUAAAAGCACGGGGGAAAGCAGAGGUGGCGGAGAAAGUCGCGUCAGACAGAACGGGAACGGUCGGACGGGACGCUUCGCUAUAGAGUACAACUGGUGUCUCGAGCAACCGAUCUGAAGACUUUGUUGGCAAGCAGGAACACGAACGGUAAGUGUCUCCGAAGUCCGAAAUAUUCUUUGACUUCGAACUGAAUUAUAUUAAACAACUGAACGUUUCUGAACGAGACUGACGAGCAGAUCGGUCUCCGGCUCAAUUAGAAAUAUUGACUGAACUUUCCAUAUGAUUGUCACUAAAUUGAAUAAACCUUUGUAUUUUAACAUUAUAGUUAAUUGAUCGACUCUUUUUUUACCAAAUGCAACAUGCUAGGCUGUUUUGUUUAUUAAUCAGCAGCAUUUUCGUAACGUCGAGGAAGUAAUCUUAGGAACUUUGCACUAAUUACCACAGUAAACUUUAAUUAUUUUAAUUAUGAUUUACAUCAACUGUGAAUGUCUCAAUUUCACUCUGCACUUCAGUAACGAUGCAGUUUUACAUCGCAAAACAAAACGACUAUAUAACAAAAAACUUAUCUCAGUUACACAAUAUGUCCUCUCAUGUUCUCUCCACAAAAGACAGAAAUCCUGCUCCAGCAGUGUACACAGAUGAUUUCAUUUACAGUGAUGUCAGACUCAAACGUGACACGGUUUAAUGAAAGAAGUUACUGACAGACGGUGUAAUACCGUGAUGCAGGGUCUACUAGUCUACUAUUGAAGGAUGCCUGUCAGCGAUAGUAUUAUUGUGAGGUAGGCUGCUAGACAAGCUGAUGGAUGUCUUUCGGCGAAGGCUCAUAGGCAGGUGUGUCUAUCACGUCAGAGCUUACCUGGAUGUGUUGUUCUGGGUGGUAGGCAUGCGGGUGUGGUGCCCACAUCUACACCCAGAGCAGACAGCCGAUAGGACUGAGGUGUUGAUGGACUUAAGAUGUUUGAGGACCCUCUUUUUUAGGGGUGGGGGAAAAAAAUCGAUUUAUCGAUUUCUCUCAAUUCUCUCUAGAACGAUUUUGUCUCGAUUCAGAAAAGUUCAUAAUCGAUUUUUUAAUAAAACAUUUUUUUUGUAAUUUUCUUUAAUUAUCAAGCACAAAGUAGGAAGUGAUUUGAGACUCUGAGUAGCAAACUCAAAUGUUUUAAAAAUCGACAUGCAUCGAUAAUCGUUUUUAUCGGUUUAGAAUUGAUAAUCGAUAAUCGGUUUAGAAUCGAUAAUCGGUUUAGAAUCGAAUCGUUGACCUCUGAAUCGGAAUCGAAUCGAAUCGUGAGGUGCCAAGAGAUUCCUACUUCCUACUCUGUCUGGCAGCCAACUGUAAUCAGUCAUUUCAAGCUCAGGUGAGACCUUAAAGCUGUAGAGAUGUAGGAGGUUGCCGUAGUGACGGUAAGAGGUUGCUGUAGUGACGGUAAGAGGUUGCUGUAGUGACGGUAAGAGGUUGCCGUAGUGACGGUAAGAGGUUGCCGUAGUGAUGGUAAGAGGUUGCCGUAGUGACGGUAAGAGGUUGCCGUAGUGACGGUAAGAGGUUGCCGUAGUGACAGUAAGAGGUUGCCGUAGUGACGGUAAGAGGUUGCCGAAUUCCUUAUCUUGGCACUGUAAUAUUACUUGCCCUUGAUUUUUUAAGCUUUUCAGUAUUUGAGGGCAAACUGCUAAAAGCUACUCUGAGGUAGUCGACAUACACAGGAGGACUAUUCUGACAAUGACUGUUUGCCCUUCCAUGUAGGUGAGCUAAAGAUAUAGUCAUAUGGUGUUAAAUGGCUAAUGAUGGCUAAUGGUGAACGUUUUGAGGCGCACUUGUGAUUUCAGUGAGCCAGAAUCUGACUGGAUGUUAGGGAUGAUGUCACAUCAGGGAUCUUUGCGAAACUGUGUGGUCCUGGGAAAAGGCCUUACCUCUAGCAAUCUUGGAACGUGCCGCUUCGCUGAGGCACGCGGUCCAGGCCAAUCUGGCGAUUUUAUGACUCAACUAUUAGAGAGCGAGUGGUGCCGUUUUCAUGUCUGGAACUCUGGCAGUGGAAUCUCACCAUAGAACUCUCGCAGUGGAAUCCUAACCAUAGCCUUGUGGUUGUUCAUCUCUUGCUUUUAUUGAACUCCAAACGCACAGUGUCCAGGCGUUUGACAGAAAAUGUACUUGCCUCAGCCUUUUCCACUAUUCUUCAACACAACAUCCACUGAAGUUCAUUCAGUUCAUAUUCAGUAGUAGACAGCAAAGCAUAUAACUCAGUGCUCAACAGACGAUGGAAGAAGUCCUCAGCUGGUUCUGGGCGCAUGAGAACAUGUUUGUUUGUGCUCAAACAUGGAUUAGUUGGAUUUAUUGUUUAUAUUUUACAUUUACAUUUAGUCAUUUAGCAGACGCUUUUGGUCCAAAGCGACGUACAAGGGAGAGAACAGUCAAGCUAAGAGCAAUAAAAAACAUGGUGUAACAAUAAAUACUGCUUUACAUAAGAAUUAGAAAAACGACCUAGAAAGGAAAAAGAAGUGCAGGAAUGUAACUGCUGUAAGCGCUAGUCAAGGUGCCAGUUAGGAAGGGAGGUGUGCUCUCUGAAGAGUUGGGUGUUCAAAAGCUUUCUUGAAGGUAGAGAGGGACGCCCCUGCUCUGGUAGUACUAGGCAGCUCGUUCCACCAACGUGGAACUA